AAUCAUAAUUCAUAACCACCACCAUCAUCUCACUUCGGGGUUGCUUUUUAGACACUCCAGGUGAAACGGAAUACCCAUACCAUUGAAUUAUUACCAUCGUCCCUGCUAUGUUUCCAUAUAAGACAGACUGGCGUGAUGGACCCUUUGGGCUGUGCAGUGUGCACAGGUUCUUCCUUCUUUGAGUUGAAGGGGCCAUGAGUUGGGGUUAGAGGACGCAGCAUGGGGGCUCUACUAGGAAGAAUCCUCAUCCCAGACUAGUUUAUUAUUAGGGUCAAACCUUCUCCAGGGGAUCAAAAAUAGUCAAAGGGGGGUUCUCUGAGAAAGUUGUGGCCUACGAUGAGUGCACUUUAAUUUGUAUGGGUUCCCUCUCUCUUUUCGCCAUUAGCUUUUGCUUUUGCCAUAAUCACACUUGUCUUCCACCACCAGCAUGGGUCUGACCAACCCCAUAUAACAAACUUCUCAGAAACCUUCUUCCCCACAACACAGUCCCCAGAUAAAAUUCUGGGUGAUGCAGAGAUUGAGACAGAGAGGGGUAAACAAGUGCCCCAUGCAACAUCCACCACGAGUGCAUGAAAGUUUUUCAUCCUCUGUAAGUAAAUAUAUUUUUCAUCUCUCUUUUCCUCUUUACCUUCUUCUUUUCAUCGACAGAGAAAAAUCUCUGAACAGCAAUGUGGCUCUUGGAAAGUUUGAGAGGAAGAGGAAGAAAUUGCUGUAAAAUGGUUGCAGAUGGCUUCCUCUCUUCAGCAUUUUCUUCUUCUCUCUCUCUUUCUUUCCCAGAAAGCAGACAGUGGGUAAUUGUAGUUUUCUACCUUGCUUAGCUUGUUCUGGCCUCUCUGUAAAAUUCUGAUUCAGAUUUCUGUCAUUUUAUUUACAAUUCUGUAUUUAAGCUUGUUGAUGCAUCAAACUAAGAAGUAAAGAUAAAAAAGAGAGGAGACAUGUGCACACCAAAACCACAACCCAUUUUCCACUCAAAUCAUAGCAAGUUACAUUACAAUCAGUAAAAGAGAAGCCAUAAAACUUAUUCUAUACCUUCUGCACACAGAAAAAACAACAAAUAGGAAUCCAUGUAAACUGGUUGAUCCUCCUUUACUUUUUUUUCUUUCCUCUCGUUCUUUUUUUUUCUUAAUAAUAUAGGCGAGGUGCCGUUGUAUAAUUACACUCUGAAAGACUAGGGUAUUAUACUGCAAGUUCUGUACAGCUGACAAAUCAAGAAGCCGGAUGAAAAAGGGAAAAGAAUACUGGAAACUGAAUCCCAUCAGAAGAUAAACAAAAGAAUGACACACACAUUAACGAGCACACCGGUAUUAAUGUGAGUAUUAGGGGUAGUAAUUCUUCUAAUAAAGAAGAAGAAGAACACGGAACACAAUGUUAGAUCUGCUGAAGUAUGCUCCACAGCAUGCUAGAUCCCAGGUAUUGGAAUGCAGAUCUCAGUAUGCCUCUGUUAAAAGUCAGGUCGGCAUGGCUGUGUGAUCCUAGGAAACUGAACACAGAGGAGAUGGGAACUCAACAUAUGCUAAGUUGGAUCAGAGAAAGAAGUUAUACUGGUUGUAGACACUCAAAAAUUCUGUCUGUGAGAUGAUGGAUCAGAGAGAUUGGUUAUAGACUUUGGAGGAGGGCCCUUUUGCAAGGUGGUGGUUGUGAAGGGUUACUGCUUGGAUUAGGGGUAGGGGACUCCAUUCCAAGUGCUCUCAGUAGGAAGUUCCUCUCCUGAACAAUUCAUCAAGAGUACAUAGUUAGUACUGUAUCAAAAUUUCAAAUUAAUAUAUUUGCUAAAGCAAGAGAAAUAAUUAAAUUAAUAUAUUUUUCCAUGUUACAAAAUGUGUUCCCCUACUUAUUAUUAGACUUCAUUUCGAUCUUGAAUACUUAGAGGGAAAGUGCGAAGGACAAUUAUUUUAUUUUUUUAGAAGGAAUAAACAUAAUAAAUUUUUCUCUUGUGCUUACCCAAAUUUCUCCUUUAUAAAGAAUGAAAAAUUUGAAAAUGCAUAAUUCUAAAUUAUUUUUGUUAUAUUUGAUUUUUCUUUGUGUUUUCCACAAUACAACCACCAAACAAGAAAAUUUUUAUUCCUUUCUACUUCUUUUCCUUUUCCCAGGCACUUUUUGUUCUCCAAACAAAGCCUUAAAAUAUUUUGGCCUACCUUUGAAUACACUCGUUACUGACUUAAUGAUGGGAAUAACAUGUAAUAAGUAAGAAUUGCCAUGAGGGAGGAGGAACAGAGCUUUACUGGCUAUUGAUCAGUCAUCUAAGUUUACAUCCUUGACCUACCUUUAGAUAAGAUGAUUACCUAGGUCUAAUUGAUGUUCUUUUACCUAGGUCUAACAAUUGUUCUUUCUUCCUGCAUUAUUGACUGGGCAGGAAUUUAUAGUAAGAUAACCUUGGUUGCAUAUGAAACCUGUUCUCCAAGGUGCUCUUGCAUUUCCCUGUUCACUAAGUUUAAACCUUGUCUAAAUAUUAAUAUGAUAUGCAUGCUUUGCUAUUUACUACUUCAAAGACAAAGGUAUGCUAAGUAUACUACAACUUAAAGACAAUAUUAUGCCAUGCAUUUUCAAUUUUAUUUCAAAAUAAUGUUAUGCUAUGUAUAAAAUAGUGUUUGUUUUAUUUACAGAUAAAUGAAAAUAAUGUUUAAUAAGUGAUCAACCAAGUUAAGUACCAACUACACGAGGGAACCAGAACCAUAAAGAAUAUAAAGAAAAGGAAACAUACUGUACCAAAAAAAAAAAAAGGAAAAGAAAAUGAAAAGGAAAAUAGAAGAGAAGAAGAAGAGCAAAAACAAAGCUCACAUGGGUUUUUUUUGUUAAAAAUAGGACUUCUUAGACUAGGCCUUGCUUUGUAAUUCUUAUUUAGUCAUUGUUCUCUAACAUACUUUUUUCUUAUAUUUUAGUGGGAAAAAUAGUUCAAGAUGUGAUACUAGCAUGUCACAAUUUAAACUUAAUUAAAUGUCUAACAUGUUCUAACACAACAAAAUUAAUGAACAGAAGUCCUAUUUUUAUUUUAUUUUCCCUUGAUUUUACAUGCACAUAAACAAUGUUUAGCUGAUGUCAGAAAAUUUUAAAAAAUAAAUAUCACAACCCAAAAAAGAAGCUGACAUUAUAGGGAUAUGGACAUAUAUCAGUUAUGACACACACUUAAGGAUAUCCUUUGAAGAAAUGAAGUCAUUUAAAUAAUUGGAGAUGUAAUGCAAGCACUUCACUCUUUUUUUCCCUUUCCCAACAAGCAUCUAUUUCAUACUUCAAUCCAUAGAACACUAAUGGCAGUUCAAUUGGGGCUGGGAAGCUGAUGAGAUGCUCUGUGCUUUGCACCAAGCCACAAACUUAGAGUCUAGACUCUUCCUCUUCUGUCUAUAAAUAACGAGAAUGAGCAAGCGCAGUCAUAACUCAAGAGACAGAGUGACUAAAUACCAUAACCUGAGAGACGAUGACUCACCCACUUGUCAUGUUGUUAUUGAUAACUAAGCACAAUAUAUUUGUACUUAUUACUGCAACUCCCAUCGUAUUCCUUCUGAAUAUGCCCAUGAGAUUUGCAGCUAUCUUAACACCUCAAAAAGCAGAGAAUAUGUCUAAUUUUCCAGAGUACUGUCCGUUGAAGAAGGCUACUUCUGAUUUGAACUCAAACCCUUAAAUGUCCUGAUUUCCUUGGCCCCAACUCAUAUUUGGCCUCAUGAAGGGAGACCAGUGUGAUCAUUGGCAUUGUCAACAGCUAGGUAUAGCCACAGAGCCAAAGAUUCAGGGACAAAGAUGUAUUUCCUAUUGGAAUCAGGAAAUGGAAAGGAACUUUCCAGCAAAGAAGACUUCAGUUCCAGCCACAGCCUAAAACCAUUGGGCUGGAAACCCAUGGUAACAUGGAUUGCACCAUUGGAUUUUCAUUUCACAACUAAGAAGGUGAAAUAUAAGGUUAAUGUUGCUAGUUGAGUACAAGUGCACAUGUGAUGGGAAACAACAACACAAGAACAGCAGCAACAUGACAAGAGGGGGGGUGUUGUCUCUAUGGUUUUCCUUUUUCUGGUUCUCUCUUGCCCUAGUCAUGACUGUGCUUGCUUACUGUGAGCCUGAGUUCUUGGUUUGCUUCAACAAAUAGCAUGCCAUAUUAGCUUUGAACCACCAAACUGCUGUUAGUUUCCUAGAUCAAAAUAUGAAACUGACACAAUUCAAAAAUAAGAUCUACAGAUAUUUAUUUGUUGGCUUAAAUUGUGAAGUGCUAGCAUUACAUCUCCAAUUCUUUAAGAACUUCAUAUUUGAACUAUCAACUUAUGCUGCAUGGGCACAGACAGUGGUUGACAUGUUACAGAAAAUGAGAUGGAAAGUUCUUAAAAAUAGGACACAGACACAUGAGUUAGAUAAAUAUAUAAUGAAGUAUAUUAUGUACUUAAUUACUUUCAUAACAUAAAAUAUAAUAUAUUAACCCUCCCCACCCUUUCUUCUCCAUACCACUACUACUCAUUCUCCUCAACUUAUGAGAAAUCUCAUUUUAUUACACUUUCUUAAAAUUAAAAAUGUCCUAAGUUUUCUCCCCACCCUUAAUUUAUUUUUCUUUACAGUGUACUAGAACAACAGAGUCAUUUCCUGUUCUGCUUAUUUCAUAUUCUUAUCCAUAUCCACCUUAUAUAAUUCAUGAACAUUUUAAGCUUUGCAGAAAUAUAAGAGAAAAUUUCUCAUGCUUUAAUGUAAUGAAGCAUUUUAAACUUGAGAAUUCUGCUAAUCAAUUAAUUCCUACAACUUAUACUAUUGCUGCAACUAUACUCCAAUCUUUUGCUACUAGUAUUUCAUUUUCAUAAUCAUCAAAGUAUCUAAUGGGCGAAUAGUCAGAAAAUGUGGAACCUACUUCAAUUACUGCUAGUUUACUGUUGCUUUUUCUAUGGCCUUGAUAGUUGAUUCCGACAACCCUCUCCCUCCCCCCCAAACAAAGUAAAAACCAAAUAAAAUAUAAGCUGUCCCCAAUCUAUUAUAGUUCAAGUCUAUCCUAGGUUCUUGCCAAUCUAUCAUAAUCCAAGCCUGUCUUUAUAAUGCUCAAUUUGGAAUUUACUAGACACAGUUAACCACUAGGAAGACUUAAGUGACAGGUAAUUAUCAUUCUUUCUCAUUGAAUCUAAUCAUUGCUGGGUUAAAAAAUGAAGGACAUUAAAACAAUCUAGCUGGUUAAAUCUAUGUUGCUGACAUUUUGUUAAUCAUAAGGACAAAGCUUUACACUUGAUAUCGACAACUACAUUUCAAAUAAAGCAGUUUUUCUAGGUAUCACAACCAUUGGUUCUUUCUUUAUAAAAAAUACUAUCUAGUUGCCUUACUGUAUUUUUUAGUGUGCUUUCAAAUUGACUUAGUGAGUCUUGUCAUUUUUAAAGAGUUUUUAACUACAAAAAAAAAACAAAGGGAAAGGAAGAAAAAGGGGGGAAAAGGAAAGAAAGAAAGAAAAUGAUACUGUUACUAGGUUUUUAAGUUGUUAGUUAGUUGGUUCUUCCUCUUUCUUGAUUUUGUAAAGGGGUUGUAUAUUUCCCAAAUUUGACUUACCUCAAUAUUUAUUAUUUCAAUAGAAAUCACAGAAUUUUUUACCAUUUACUAAUACAGUGGCCUGAUAAUCAGUGGACUCAAAAUCAUUAGAAAACUUACACUCUCUGAAAAUUUUGGGCUAGGAAUUCCUGCUGCCAAGGAUCUGAACAGUGGGGUCACUUGAAGAGGGGAACUGAACUCUGUGCUUGACAAGUUAGAAGCAACUACAUCAUUGGUUUUUGGUUCAUCACAAGAAGGAAAAAUCUCUGCUGCAAGAAUUUAAUUAACAAAAUCAAAUACAUUAGGAUUCUAUCAAAUACAAAAUAAGAAAAAAGUCUUAUAGUUAGUUUUAUUUAACAUGAAGAUCGAUUACCUGGUUUGUGAAAGAAAAAAAAAAAGUACAUCUAAUAGAUACUUUUAUUUAACAUGAAAAUUGAUUACCUUGAUUUGUGGUUGUACCCGAAAGAACCCCCUUAACACAUUCUUCAAAGCCAUUUUGAUCCAUAGGAAUUGUUUGUAACCUAACUCCAAUUUCCUGAUGUAGUGCACAUAUCUCAGGUUGAGUUUGUUCUAUUUUAUCGCCUGCUGUUUGGGACACAAGAGUUGAUCCUGUACUGUAUUCAGAGCUGCCUGGAGACUCCUCAUAUAAAUCAGGUUGCCUAUGAUGGCACCAACAAUUAGAUGCUGCAUGAAUGUGACCUGCUUAAAUAUGAAUACUAGCCCACACUGCUUUUAUUACCUCCAAG
rnacentral:lncRNA from 1 species